rnacentral:rRNA from 1 species
GACGAACGCUGGCGGCGUGCCUAACACAUGCAAGUCGAACGGGGUAGAGAGCUUCGGUUUUCUACUUAGUGGCGAACGGGUGAGUAACGCGUGAGAAACCUGCCUUUCAGUGGGGGACAACAGUUGGAAACGACUGCUAAUACCGCAUAAUGUUAUCGAGCGGCAUCGCUUGAUAACCAAAGCUUUAUGUGCUGAAAGAUGGUCUCGCGUCUGAUUAGCUAGAUGGCGGGGUAACGGCCCACCAUGGCGACGAUCAGUAGCCGGUCUGAGAGGAUGAACGGCCACAUUGGGACUGAGAUACGGCCCAGACUCCUACGGGAGGCAGCAGUGGGGAAUAUUGGGCAAUGGGGGAAACCCUGACCCAGCAACGCCGCGUGAAGGAAGAAGGCCUUCGGGUUGUAAACUUCUUUUAGCAGGGACGAAGAACGUGACGGUACCUGCAGAAAAAGCAACGGCUAACUACGUGCCAGCAGCCGCAGUAACAC